rnacentral:rRNA from 1 species
UAGGGAAUCUUCCACAAUGGGCGAAAGCCUGAUGGAGCAACGCCGCGUGAGUGAAGAAGGUUUUCGGAUCGUAAAACUCUGUUGGUAGAGAAGAACGUUGGUGAGAGUGGAAAGCUCAUCAAGUGACGGUAACUACCCAGAAAGGGACGGCUAACUACGUGCCAG